rnacentral:rRNA from 1 species
UACGUAGGGGGCUAGCGUUGUCCGGAAUCAUUGGGCGUAAAGCGCGUGUAGGCGGUCCGGUAAGUCCGCUGUGAAAGUCGGGGGCUCAACCCUCGAAUGCCGGUGGAUACUGUCGGGCUAGAGUGCGGAAGAGGCGAGUGGAAUUCCUGGUGUAGCGGUGAAAUGCGCAGAUAUCAGGAAGAACACCAACGGCGAAGGCAGCUCGCUGGGACGGUACUGACGCUGAGACGCGAAAGCGUGGGGAGCGAACAGG